rnacentral:rRNA from 1 species
AGGCAGCAGUGGGGAAUAUUGCACAAUGGGGGAAACCCUGAUGCAGCGACGCCGCGUGAGUGAAGAAGUAAUUCGUUAUGUAAAGCUCUAUCAGCAGGGAAGAAAAUGACGGUACCUGAGUAAGAAGCCCCGGCUAACUACGUGCC